UACGGAGGGGGCUAGCGUUAUUCGGAAUUAUUGGGCGUAAAGGGCGCGUAGGCGGCCCGGUAAGUCAAAGGUGAAAUCCCUCGGCUCAACUGAGGAACUGCCUUUGAAACUGUCGGGCUUGAGGCCGGGAGGGGGUAGCGGAAUUCCCAGUGUAGCGGUGAAAUGCGUAGAUAUUGGGAGGAACACCGGUGGCGGAGGCGGCUACCUGGACCGGUUCUGACGCUGAUGCGCGAAAGCGUGGGUAGCAAACAGG
rnacentral:rRNA from 1 species